GUACACGCUGUGACUAGCAUAUCAAUAAGCGGAGGAAAAGAAACUAACAAGGAUUCCCUUAGUAACGGCGAGUGAAGCGGGAAGAGCUCAAAUUUGAAAUCUUCAAGGUUUUACCUUGACGAAUUGUAGUUUAAAGAAGUGUUUUCUGCUGAAGUUUUGGUAAAAGUUCUUUGGAAUAGGACAUCAUAGAGGGUGAGAAUCCCGUAUUUGACCAUUAUUUUCAGCUUUGUGAUACACUUUCAAAGAGUCGGAUUGUUUGGGAAUGCAGUCCAAAAUGGGUGGUAAAUUUCAUCUAAAGCUAAAUAUUGGCGAGAGACCGAUAGCGAACAAGUACCGUGAGGGAAAGAUGAAAAGAACUUUGAAAAGAGAGUUAAAUAGUACGUGAAAUUGUCAAAAGGGAAGCGUUUAACACCAGUGUUGUUUUCUGAAAAUCAACCUCUGUUAGCUUUAUGCAUGUUUGUUUAGACCUAAUCAGCUAUCUUGCAUGUUCUAUUGUUUGCAGUGGUGCACUUUUCAGUUUACAGGUCAACAUCAGUUUUUUUUACCGUAAAAAAGUUAAAGAAAGGUAGCUCAUGGCUCCGGUCGUGAGUGUUAUAGUCUUUUUCCUAUGCGGUAGGAGAGACUGAGGUCUGCAGUGUAGGCUAUUUGGCUAGAUACUCAGGUGCUAUGUGAUACCAUUUCAUAAACAACUUGUUGAUUAUGUUUUGUCUAUUGCAUACUCGCUUGUACUAUCAUACCUACGCUUAGGAUGUUGACGCAUGAGAUAUACGC
rnacentral:rRNA from 1 species